rnacentral:rRNA from 1 species
AAUGGGCGCAAGCCUGAUCCAGCAAUGCCGCGUGUGUGAAGAAGGCCUGCGGGUUGUAAAGCACUUUCAGUGGGGAAGAACGGAUACGGGCCAAUACCCCGCAUCACUGACGUUACCCACAGAAGAAGCACCGGCUAACUCCGUGCCAGCAGCCGCGGUAAUACGGAGGGUGCAAGCGUUAAUCGGAAUCACUGGGCGUAAAGCGCACGUAGGCGGCCCGCUAAGUCAGAUGUGAAACCCCUGGGCUCAACCUGGGAAUGGCAUUUGAUACUGGCAAGCUCGAGUCCGAGAGAGGGGGGUGGAAUUCCAGGUGUAGCGGUGAAAUGCGUAGAUAUCUGGAGGAACACCGGUGGCGAAGGCGGCCCCCUGGCUCGUGACUGACGCUGAGGUGCGAAAGCGUGGGUAGCAAA